rnacentral:rRNA from 1 species
AACGAACGCUGGCGGCAGGCUUAACACAUGCAAGUCGAGCGCCCCGCAAGGGGAGCGGCAGACGGGCGAGUAACGCGUGGGAAUCUACCCAUCUCUACGGAAUAACGCAUGGAAACGUGUGCUAAUACCGUAUACGUCCGUCGGCAGAAAGGUUUAUCGGAGAUGGAUGAGCCCGGGUUGGAUUAGCUAGUUGGUGGGGUAAAGGCCUACCAAGGCGACGAUCCAUAGCUGGUCUGAGAGGAUGAUCAGGCACACUGGGACUGAGACACGGCCCAGACUCCUACGGGAGGCAGCAGUGGGGAAUAUUGGACAAUGGGCGCAAGCCUGAUCCAGCCAUGCCGCUUGAGUGAUGAAGGCCCUAGAGUUGUAAAGCUCUUUCACCGGUGAAGAUAAUGACGGUAACCGGAGAAGAAGCCCCGGCUAACUUCGUGCCAGCCGCCGCGGUAACAC